UUAAUAGGACAUGUUAUAGGGAUUGCUAAAAAGCACACACAUUGAACAUGUCAAGCAUCAACAACCACAUAUUUCUGGAUUUUUUUUAAAAGAACUCAACAGAUAAAUAGGCUACCAUGCGUGAUGAACUAAGCAGGAAGGCUUAAGAGAAAACUGCAGAAACUCAUUUUUGAUUAUGAGAAACUGCAAGGGCUGAAGUCAAAGCAGCCGAAGAGAUAAGGUUCUCUUCCUUUUUCUCUCCUGCAGUUAUGAUUGGGACUCGUCCCUGAUAAUCGUCGCCGCCCGGAGACGGCCGCACCGUGCGCCGCCGCGCGCUGGGUACCACGUGCGCAAGCGCCGCGCGUGGGAAGGCCGCGCCAUGGCCGCCGUUUCGGGCUGCCACUGCUCCAGGUGGUUGCGCCGCCAGCGUUGCCUUGCUUUGCUGACACGCAUGGAGCAAGUCACCGACGCCGGAGGGACGAGCCGCCGCGGCGCGCGCGCUUCAGGCGUCGCCGGCCGGAAGCCGACACAAUUCCCUCGGCAGGCGAGGCCAUCGAGAAAGUCGCUCCGCGUCGGAUGCGGUGUCCGCGUCGUGCGACAGGAGGCUUCACCGCGGCGGCCACAGCCGUUGGCCACUGCUACCUUCGACCGCCACAGCCUGCUGCCGCGUGGGCGCGAGCGCCGCAGUAACCGACAAGCGAGAUGGGUUCGCCGACCGGAAGAAAGAGCGCCGCGUCAGCCGUUGGCCGUCUCCACUUCAAGAGGAGUCGGGGCUGCAGAGGAGCCGCGCUAGGAAGCCCCACGCAGAGGCCGAAGGCCAUGGUCGUGUGUUGUUCUUCCCGCUGCUGCAUGCCGGAAGGCAGCCGAAGGCCAUGGCCUGCAUGCCUGAAGACAGUUUGUUGCGUAAAGGAUUAAAAUCGGAAGGGAUAUGGAUCGAAGUUUGUUGUUGCUCCAUGGCCGUGGUCGUCCCGUCCGUAACCGUCUCGUUGGGAUGGCCUAGUCGCUCUGUUCGGAGAAACUACAGUGCUGAUAACGUGUUCGAAGUAAUUGCAAGAGGCAAAUGACAA